rnacentral:rRNA from 1 species
GUGGGGAAUAUUGGGCAAUGGGCGCAAGCCUGACCCAGCAACGCCGCGUGAGGGAAGAAGGUUUUCGGAUUGUAAACCUCUGUCCUAUGUGACGAAGGAAGUGACGGUAGCAUAGGAGGAAGCCCCGGCUAACUACGUGCCAGCAGCCGCGGUAAUACGUAGGGGGCGAGCGUUGUCCGGAAUUACUGGGCGUAAAGGGUGCGUAGGCGGCACGGUAAGUUGGAUGUGAAAUACCCGGGCUUAACUUGGGGGCUGCAUCCAAAACUGCUGAGCUUGAGUGCGGGAGAGGAAAGCGGAAUUCCUAGUGUAGCGGUAAAAUGCGUAGAUAUUAGGAGGAACACCGGUGGCGAAGGCGGCUUUCUGGACCGUAACUGACGCUGAGGCACGAAAGCGUGGGGAGCAAACAGG